rnacentral:rRNA from 1 species
AUUGAACGCUGGCGGAAUGCUUUACACAUGCAAGUCGAACGGCAGCACGGGGACAACCCUGGUGGCGAGUGGCGAACGGGUGAGUAAUACAUCGGAACGUGCCCGGUCGUGGGGGAUAACGUAGCGAAAGUUACGCUAAUACCGCAUACGAUCUGAGGAUGAAAGCGGGGGACCUUCGGGCCUCGCGCGAUCGGAGCGGCCGAUGUCAGAUUAGGUAGUUGGUGGGGUAAAGGCCUACCAAGCCGACGAUCUGUAGCUGGUCUGAGAGGACGACCAGCCACACUGGGACUGAGACACGGCCCAGACUCCUACGGGAGGCAGCAGUGGGGAAUUUUGGACAAUGGGCGCAAGCCUGAUCCAGCCAUUCCGCGUGCAGGACGAAGGCCUUCGGGUUGUAAACUGCUUUUGUAUGGAACGAAAAGGCUCUGGCUAAUACCUGGGGCUCAUGACGGUACCGUAAGAAUAAGCACCGGCUAACUACGUG